rnacentral:rRNA from 1 species
UCGGGAAUAUUGCGCAAUGGAGGAAACUCUGACGCAGUGACGCCGCGUAUAGGAAGAAGGUUUUCGGAUUGUAAACUAUUGUCCACAGGGAAGAAAAAAGACUGUACCUGUGAAGAAAGCUCCGGCUAACUACGUGCCAGCAGCCGCGGUAAUACGUAGGGAGCAAGCGUUAUCCGGAUUUAUUGGGUGUAAAGGGUGCGUAGACGGGAUUACAAGUUGGUUGUGAAACCCCUCAGCUCAACUGAGGAACUGCAACCAAAACUAUAAUUCUUGAGUGCAGGAGAGGAAAGUGGAAUUCCUAGUGUAGCGGUGAAAUGCGUAGAUAUUAGGAAGAACACCGGUGGCGAAGGCGACUUUCUGGACUGUAACUGACGUUGAGGCACGAAAGUGUGGGGAGCAAACAGG